rnacentral:lncRNA from 1 species
AUGGUCAGUUACGAAGUUACGAAUUUGUGUGACCAAAGAAAAAUGCGACUAUAACUAUUCUUUGGUCACAGCCUAGUCGUUUUACGUGACCAUCUAGUCAUCCACCCUCCACGUGCAAUUGGAACCCUAAUCCAUCACCUGCUACGAUAAGUUCAACUUCAUCGCUUAUCCAUUUUUGAGAAAAUUUGGAUAAUAUGCAAUAUCCACUGUUCAUCAACAUCGGUUGAAGCUCGUCUUGGUUUGGGUGUGCCAAGUUACUUUGGUAGCUGCUGUUUUUAAUUUCAAGGUUUGUGAUGUGACUAAGUGAUGCAGAUGUGAUUUGUUUUGUCCUGAGGGUUCGAACCUUAGUAACAUCGCCACGAGAAUACUGUAUUGGUAACAAGAUCAUUUGGUACAUGUCCAUUAUUAUCACUCUUUGCGUAUUGUUUUAUGAAAGCCUAACAAUUUUUAUUAGCAACAAAAACCCUGGGUAGCUGGGAUCACCCAGCACACCUGCCUAGAGGAAACCCACAAUCUCCAAAAACUACAACAGUACAACUACAAACAUCUAGUUGGUUUUGCUACUGUUUCAUUGAUGGUCAAGAGAGUCGAAGCCAUGUGAGAGUUCGAACCCACCACCAGCCAACUGUUGAAACUCCCGCUCGCUAUUGUCCCUUUUGUGCCUGAAGAUGUUGUUGUCUUUGUUGUUGGUGCCCUCUCCGGUGCUACUGCCAAAAUAAUUAUUGCCCAUCUUGACCGGAUUAAACUCACCUUGCAGGGAUUAUGCUUUUGCAAUGUUAUAAGAGGUUGGUUGUUGUUAUGGCUGGUGAGUUAAAUAUGUUGGGGGAGGAGUAUGAUUAUUGGCAUGAAGUUGCUGCUUAGAAUGAAUAUUUAAGCAUGGGUUCGGUUUGGCUUGGUUUGGUUUUAGUUUCCAACGGUUCAGUUUCGGAAUCAAACCGUAAACACCCCUAGUGGGUAUGGUUAGUUGUAUUGGUUGGAUGUGCUAAAAGGUUGCUGAUUGGGGCUGCUAUGGGGGAAUAGAGGUCAAGACUACUAGGAAGUUUGAAGAGAAGAUUUAUCUCUUAUAAGUUCGGUUAAUUUUUUUUAUUAUUGUUUGUUUCUCUGUUUGGGUGCUUUUAAGAGGUUAAUGAUUCCAGUUCUACCCCUCUUGUAAGGUAAAAAGAAUGUAGCAUAUCGUCCAAUUUUUUAUGAAUGGGCCGUUUGGGUUGUAUUCUUUUCUAACGGGUCAUAUGUAUUCUUUGUGUAGCGUGUAUUAUUUUAUUUUA